UUUACACAAACAAAAGCUUCAAGAAAAACUAGUCGUUAGAGUCAAAACCCUUGUUCUUCCUCUUUCUUCUUCGAUUAUGCAGCAACUCAUUACUUGGAGCUUCACUUGCUGCCUUCGAUCCUUGGAAAAGCAAUUUAGGUUCCAACAGUUUUCUACAUAGCAGUUCCAUUCAGUUUUCAAACCCCCCACGCCCUUUUGUCGUAAAUUCUCCGCUUCAUUUGUUCAGUUACAAAAUCUUGAUCUUUGUACAUCACCCAAGGCCGGCUCCCAAUUCGAGCACUCUUCUCCCCUCUAAUUCUUCGUCUUCGUUUAGAAUCAGGUUGCUCUGACUCAGCCACGCCCGCCAGUUCGGAACCGCCACCACCGCCGCUUGUACCAGAAGGACAGAAGAGAUACGUUUUUCACCAAAGAAAGCAUUUUGUAUACGUCCUUUGGCAUGCCCGAUAAGGUUUCUCAAGUUCUCUACAACACCGGCCUCGGCCAACUGUCUCUGGUCAGGCUGCUAGCAUACGGUCUAUACUUUCAGGGAAGGAUUGUACCUUCAAGGAAGGAUUGUUCUUUCAGGGAAGGAUUGUUGCAGCUGAAACUGAAUCACCACGUUCAGGGAAGGAUGUUGUUUUGAUCACUGAUUCCCCUCAUUGGGUUUCAUUGCAGUUCAGUUUUACAGUAAAUGCAAUUUCGAUACCUAAAGCUUAAGAGAAGGUCGACAAGCUUAAGUCAAUAGGAUUUUCAUAUGACUGGGAUAGUGAAAUUUCUACAACAGAACCAGAAUAUUAUACAUGGACCCUGUUAUGCCUUGGCAUGUUCAUCAGUGCAGAAGCAACAUUCAGAUUAUCUCACCACCAAUAUACAGACCUAUAAUUGAACAGUUUAAAAUACAAGACAUAAAGACACCAAGAGAAUUACGAUGUUCGGCAAAAUCCUGCCUACGUACGUCCCCAGAGAGAUAUUACUCUUCACUAUGAGAAUAACAAUAUAAGUUACACAUGAGUUAAAUCGACAUAACCCAAUCCCAAAUCCCUUGUACACCCACUCACAGAAUUUUCCCAAGAGCUUCACUCUCCACAAGAGUUCUUUCACUAGAAGACUUUUAACUCUAGCUCUCUUGAUUUUCAUUCAACCCAUGUUCAACCUUUCCCAUGGGAGAGCCGGAUGCUCUCCCCCUUGGAUGCUUCCAUGAUGCUUGCCUUCCCACUUUCCAAGACUAAAUGCACAAAUAUUGCAUCUAGUUAUAGGCAUACACUAGUAACUACGCCAACAACCAAGACAAAAAAUCUUAAGUUCACAUGACAUAAUCAUCACCUAGCCUACCUAGCAUGCACCAACCUAGCCCUUAGAGUACAACUUUUUCUCCAUUUGCCAUUUAAUGCAUAGAAGAGAAAUCAUGCACAAUUGCAUGCAAGCAAACACAAAGUCACGGUUGCUGCCAUUUCCUUGUAGCAUUCACAUGGUCUUCAAUUGUUGUCAACACAUGACUCAUAAUGACUCACAAAUGUACGAGCUGGUGACCUGUGUGGUGGCGUCUUCGAUGUCCUAUUUUCCUUUGCUUCUGUUGUUUGGGUGUGCUGGGCAUCCCUCUGCUUGUAAUUAUGAACCAUUUCUUUCAACCCAAAAAAAAAACCCACAACAGACCCAAUGGAUCUUUCUUCAGCUAUUAAAGAUAGGAUUGGCGUAUCAGGUAUAAAUGAGAUAUCGGCGGUGAUGGUUUCUAUCAUUUUCACCAUUGCACAUAUCUAAUACUCUACUUUGUUACAUUCAUGCUGAAGUGCUAGUUAAUUGGUGCCCUGCUCUUGGUACUGUCUUGGCAAAUGAAGAAGUGAUGAAGAUGGUUUGAGUGACCUUGGGGGUCAUUUAGUUAUACGAAAGGGACAUAUUGAUUUGGUUCAUUUUCAUUUUACAAACCAUCUAAGAUAAAUAACAAAAAACCACUUCUUGGCUUAAUUCAAAUUUUCGGAUGGUUUUAUAAUUUUACAGUCCUUUUUUGGUGUCAUUGUUUAUUACUGAGCAACCACUGCAGAGAUUAUCACUUCCCUCCCCAACUUUUUACUGAUCUCUGUCCACUUCAUCUAAUUAUUUAAAUACCAUAAUCUCUUGAAUGCUUCUUCUUUGCUUUUUCGUCCAUUUUUGGUUUUUAACACAUUUUGUAAUUGUGAAACUAGUAUUGGAUUGAUUUUAGCAAGUGGGAUUUUUUGUUAAUGUUGAUCAUAUUCAGACCUUUGUGUCGAUCGAAGUCCUUGUUGUUGGGUUAGCUAACGUAUGAUUGCUAGCUUUCUCUCUUAGUUGAAUUCAAAAUGUUUUGAGUUGUUAUAUGGACUUAAGAUUUAGUAAGUACUUGCCGAAAGUCAUGGGAUUUUGAAAUAUCGAUGUCUUGCUUGCUUAUUAACUUAGAAAUUGCUUAUUAGCUUAAACAUCUAAGAACCAAGGUAGUCCUUUCACUGCCUCACUACAUACAAUGUGUUGAUGAUUUACACAACAUAGUCGUUCCCCACAUGUGUGAGGAUCUGUGCGUGCAACCUCAUUGGUUAGGCAUGCUUUGGUGUUUGUUGUUUGAGGCAGUGUUUAAUCGUUUUCCAGUGGUGCUCCACUUUGUGAUACUACAGAAGAGCAAGAAAGGAAAUAGAAGAGUUUGACUGCAUAAUUACUCAUAAAAAUAAGUUUAUGUAUUUUUAACUAUUCUGAAGUGAAAUCAGUGAUCCUCGGUCCGAUUCAAUGUUGUCCCAAUUUACAUGGGACGAUGCAACGCUUAUAUGAUAGUUUUCUUAUCAGCUGUAUGUGAAUCACCGUUGUCUUAUGGAUAAUAUGCAUACUUAUGUUUUGAUUCCUGUUAAACUUUGUAUUAUUUUCGUGUUAGUCAUUGGCAGGUAACUUUGAAAACAUUCAUAUUUAUCGAUAGGACCUUGAGGGAGGGUGGUCCUACUUAAAGAGAAGAACUAAAUUUCUCUCAGAGAGGACAAAUUCUGCUGCUUUCUAAUUUCAAAGACGACUCCAGCCCCAUUGGUGAAUUCAAGUGCCUUAAAUCUCUUGAAUUCUUUCAUCUCUUUGGCAUGUCAAUUGUCAUUAUUAGCUAUGAGAUGAAGUGCUUGAAAUUAUGACGUUGAUUUUGAACUCAAAAUUGAAGAAAGCUUGAAAUUAUGACGUUGAUUUUGAACUCAAAAUAGAAGAAACACAAACAUACCUGUAACUUCUACACGUUAUAUUAUGCAACAUAUAUAUUCUAACCCUUGCACUGUGUUGUUGCACGCACAAAAAAAGCAAAAAAAAUAAAACAGACUAAUGUGUUGUUCACUGUAAUUUUAUUAAAUUGAAGAAAACACAUUUGUAGCCUCUCUAACGUGUGUGCAAGAGGCAUUUUUGCAUCACGGGUGCUACGCGCCCCAAAGAUGUGUUGUUUUAGAUAUUCUUAUAUUUCUUAAGUGAUUAUUUUAUAAAUUGUGGGUGUGUGCCCAUCACAACAAUUUUUUAUUAUUUUCAAUCAUCUAACUUAGUCUUUUUGCA